CAAUAGCGUAUAUUAAAGUUGUUGCGGUUAAAAAGCUCGUAGUUGGAUUUCUUCCAGGGGCAGUCGGUCCACACUACGUGUGCGUAUCUGAUUUGACUUUGGAAUCCUCUUGGGGAACAUCUCUGCGCUUAACUGCGUGGAAUGGUAUUCAAGACUUUUACUUUGAGGAAAUUAGAGUGUUCACGGCAGGCAAUCGCCCUGAAUACAUUAGCGUGGAAUAAUAAUAUAGGAUUUCGGUUCUAUUUUGUUGGUUUCUAGAGCUGAGAUAAUGAUUAAUAGGGACACUUGGGGGCAUUCGUAUUAUCACGUCAGAGGUGGAAUUCUUGGAUUGUGUUACGACGAACUACUGCGAAAGCAUUUGCCAAGGAUGUUUUCAUUGA
rnacentral:rRNA from 1 species